UAAAAAAAAAAAGUGUUUUCUUUUUUCAAUUACUAAGUGUUGAUCUGCUAAUUCAGUAAUUGUAUGGAUUUUGUUGUCAGUAAAAUUGUUUUCCCUUUUUUCUUUUCAUCAUAAAUGUUUUGUUUCACUAAAUAACUCAUUACUAUUUGUUUUCUGAUCUCUUUGUCCUAGUCAUGGUCUAAUUAAACUGUAUUAUCAUUAUUGCAAGUAGCAGAAAUAAUUGUUUAACCAAAAGACAAGGUAUUAAUAUUUUAUUCAUUUUCAAUUAUCAUUCUUGUUAUAGUAUAAAGUAAAAAGUUCACAGUCACCCAAUGCCAGAGAUUAAUAAUCAACUUCUGCAGUUGAAUAACUGCUUUUGGUAUGUUUUAAGACUGUUAUUUUCAGUGCAAUAUUUUGUUUGGCUUGUUAAAUGAGAUAAAACUUCCUGUUGUCUGACCACUGAGUGAGUUAAAAGCUAUGCCAGAUUGUAACCUUCAUCUAUUAAUGUUGGUUUACAUUUCUCCUUCAAUAAAUGAUAUUAAAAUUAGUUUGACCUUCAAUUCA